rnacentral:rRNA from 1 species
UUCGAGUGGCGGACGGUGAGUAACGCGUGGGUAACCUGCCUUACACAGGGGGAUAACACCUGGAAACAGGUGCUAAUACCGCAUAAGCGCACAGGGCCGCAUGGCCCGGUGUGAAAAACUCCGGUGGUGUAAGAUGGACCCGCGUCUGAUUAGCUUGUUGGCGGGGUAGGGGCCCACCAAGGCGACGAUCAGUAGCCGGCCUGAGAGGGUGGACGGCCACAUUGGGACUGAGACACGGCCCAAACUCCUACGGGAGGCAGCAG